CAACUUUGCGUUACAAGUGGCACUGCACAGAAGACGGAGAAGAACAUUGGAGAUGCCGUUGCUGAAAUAUGCUGCCAACAAUGUUGCGAAGUGAGAAGUUUACUGCAUGCUUGGCUUUGGGCGUCUGCUCCAGGAGGGUCUUCAUGUCUAUCAGAGCGUCCUCAAGACCUUGGGCCAGAUGUGCUGCGUUAGUGUCCU